rnacentral:rRNA from 1 species
UACGAAGGGGGCGAGCGUUGUUCGGAAUUACUGGGCGUAAAGGGCGCGCAGGCGGCUCUGAAAGUCAGAUGUGAAAGCCCCGGGCUUAACCUGGGAAUUGCAUUUGAUACUCUGGAGCUUGAGUACGGGAGAGGAGAGUGGAAUUCCCAGUGUAGAGGUGAAAUUCGUAGAUAUUGGGAAGAACACCGGUGGCGAAGGCGGCUACUCUGGACCGUAACUGACGCUGAGGCGCGAAAGCGUGGGGAGCAACAGG